rnacentral:rRNA from 1 species
GGAAUAUUGCACAAUGGGGGAAACCCUGAUGCAGCGACGCCGCGUGAAGGAAGAAGUAUUUCGGUAUGUAAACUUCUAUCAGCAGGGAAGAAAAAAGACGGUACCUGACUAAGAAGUCCCGGCUAACUACGUGCCAGCAGCCGCGGUAAUACGUAGGGGGCAAGCGUUAUCCGGAUUUACUGGGUGUAAAGGGAGCGUAGACGGUGAAGCAAGUCUGAAGUGAAAGGCGGGGGCUCAACCCCCGGACUGCUUUGGAAACUGUUUGACUGGAGUGCAGGAGAGGUAAGUGGAAUUCCUAGUGUAGCGGUGAAAUGCGUAGAUAUUAGGAGGAACACCAGUGGCGAAGGCGGCUUACUGGACUGUAACUGACGUUGAGGCUCGAAAGCGUGGGGAGCAAAC